rnacentral:rRNA from 1 species
UUGUCUCAAAGAUUAAGCCAUGCAUGUCUCAGUACAAGCCAAAUUAAGGUGAAACCGCGAAAGGCUCAUUAAAUCAGUUAUGGUUCCUUAGAUCGUACCCACAUUACUUGGAUAACUGUGGUAAUUCUAGAGCUAAUACAUGCAAACAGAGCUCCGACCGGAGACGGAAGGAGCGCUUUUAUUAGAUCAAAACCAAUCGGUGACGGGUUCGCUCGUCAUCGUAUAACUUGGUGACUCUGAAUAACUUUAAGCUGAUCGCACGGUCUCGCACCGGCGACGCAUCUUUCAAAUGUCUGCCUUAUCAACUGUCGAUGGUAGGUUCUGCGCCUACCAUGGUCGUAACGGGUAACGGGGAAUCAGGGUUCGAUUCCGGAGAGGGAGCCUGAGAAACGGCUACCACAUCCAAGGAAGGCAGCAGGCGCGCAAAUUACCCACUCCCGGCACGGGGAGGUAGUGACGAAAAAUAACGAUACGGGACUCAUCCGAGGCCCCGUAAUCGGAAUGAGUACACUCUAAACCCUUUAACGAGGAUCAAUUGGAGGGCAAGUCUGGUGCCAGCAGCCGCGGUAAUUCCAGCUCCAAUAGCGUAUAUUAAAGUUGUUGCGGUUAAAAAGCUCGUAGUCGAAUCUGUGUCCCGCGCCGCCGGUUCAUCGUUCGCGGUGUUAACUGGCGUGUCGCGGGACGUCCUGCCGGUGGGCUUAGCCUUCCGGGGCGGCCCAACUCAAUCCCGCCGCGGUGCUCUUAACUGAGUGUCGAGGUGGGCCGGCACGUUUACUUUGAACAAAUUAGAGUGCUUAAAGCAGGCUAAAACUUCGCCUGAAUACUGUGUGCAUGGAAUAAUGGAAUAGGACCUCGGUUCUAUUUUGUUGGUUUUCGGAACCCCGAGGUAAUGAUUAAUAGGAACGGAUGGGGGCA